GAUGAACGCUGGCGGCGUGCCUAAUACAUGCAAGUCGAGCGAACAGACGAGGGGCUUGCUCCUCUGACGUUAGCGGCGGACGGGUGAGUAACACGUGGAUAACCUACCUAUAAGACUGGGAUAACUUCGGGAAACCGGAGCUAAUACCGGAUAAUAUAUUGAACCGCAUGGUUCAAUAGUGAAAGACGGUUUUGCUGUCACUUAUAGAUGGAUCCGCGCCGCAUUAGCUAGUUGGUAAGGUAACGGCCUACCAAGGCAACGAUGCGUAGCCGACCUGAGAGGCGGAUCGGCCGCACUGGAACUGAGACACGGUCCAGACUCCUACGGGAGGCAGCAGUAGGGAAUCUUACGCAAUGGGCGAAAGCCUGACGGAGCAACGCCGCGUGAGUGAUGAAGGUCUUCGGAUCGUAAAACUCUGUUAUUAGGGAAGAACAAAUGUGUAAGUAACUAUGCACGUCUUGACGGUACCUAAUCAGAAAGCCACGGCUAACUACGUG
rnacentral:rRNA from 1 species